AAUAAUGGUAAAGCUAAAUACAGAAAAUUUAUGUGGCAUUAUAGAGUCAUGGUGUGUCGAUAUUGAAGUUGAUAAAAUAAAUUUGAAGAAUCAGGUGGAUGUAGUGUUCCGUAUGGUUUGGUGUAUAGCAAAUUUAGUAUUGGUUGAAUGGUUUUAUGCUGAGAAUGUGGAUAAAUUAUGGAAUAAAUAUGAUAUUUGAUGUUUAUGUGUUAUGGAUGAUGGUGUUAUGGAUGAUUGUGGAUGCGAUAAAAGUAUUUUGAAGAAAAAAGUGCAAAUUUCGGACGAUAGUGGAGUCGUUGAUGUCAUGGCAUAUAAUCAAAUUCAACAACAAUUAUCUGGGCCUUCAGCAGCUGCCCAUCAAAGUGGACUGAUUGGAGUUAACAAUUUUUCAGUUAUGAAUAAGCAAUAUCGUGUCAUUCUGAAGCAGGCUUACAGUAAUAUUGAAAAGAAAAUCCAUGUUCAGCUAUGGAUAUUGGUGUCAGCGAAGAGCAAACAACGACAGUGCAACCUGAGUGCAGCAAACGAUUGAAUGUUACUCCGAAAAAACGGAAUAAAUGUGUGGAAAAGUGGAAUUGAACUGCGAAGCAGAACUGAAUGGUCCAAAUUCUUUGAAUUUGGAUAACAUGAUAAUAUUCUUUUACCAGUACAAGUAUCAUUUUGUAUUAUUAGCUAAAUUCAUUAGUGGUAUGCUAUUUGUAUGAAUUUUAUAUUAUUAUGGUGAAUUGAUUAUGCCCGAUUUUUGUACUAUUAUAUUAGGUACAUUAGUAUCAUAAUAAUUUUACUGUUGUGAUGUGAAGGUUCAAAAAAUCAUGACU